GAAGCGGCAAAAGCUCAAAUUUGAAAUCUGGCCUCACGGUCCGAGUUGUAAUUUGUAGAGGAUGCUUCGAACGUGGUCCGGUCUAAGUUCCUUGGAACAGGACGUCAUAGAGGGUGAGAAUCCCGUAUGUGCCCGGGUGCCAUUGUUCAUGUGAAGCUCCUUCGACGAGUCGAGUUGUUUGGGAAUGCAGCUCAAAAUGGGUGGUAAAUUUCAUCUAAAGCUAAAUACUGGCCAGAGACCGAUAGCGCACAAGUAGAGUGAUCGAAAGAUGAAAAGCACUUUGGAAAGAGAGUUAAACAGUACGUGAAAUUGUUGAAAGGGAAGCGCUUGCAAUCAGACUUGCAUGCGGUCGAUCAUCCGAUGUUCUCACCGGUGCACUCGAUCGUAUUCAGGCCAGCAUCGGUUUUGGUGGUUGGAUAAAGGCCUCAGGAACGUGGCUCCCCUCGGGGAGUGUUAUAGCCUGAGGUGCAAUGCAGCCUACCGGGACCGAGGACCGCGCUUCGGCUAGGAUGCUGGCGUAAUGGUUGUAAGCGACCCGUCUUGAAACACGGACCAAGGAGUCUAACAUCUAUGCGAGUGUUUGGGUGUAAAACCCAUACGCGUAAUGAAAGUGAACGGAGGUGAGAACCCUUAAGGGUGCAUCAUCGACCGAUCCUGAAGUCUUCGGAUGGAUUUGAGUAAGAGCAUAGCUGUUGGGACCCGAAAGAUGGUGAUCUAUACUUGAAUAGGGUGAAGCCAGAGGAAACUCUGGUGGAGGCUCGCAGCGGUUCUGACGUGCAAAUCGAUCGUCAAAUUUGAGUAUAGGGGCGAAAGACUAAUCGAACCAUCUAAAUGUUACUGGAUGUUAAACCAAACAAGUAGUCUCCUCGGAGGCAACAUUACCACUGUGCGGGAAUGCUUUCCUAGCUACCCGCAGCGGGGCCUCGGCCUCGCCCACAGACUAGACGGUGAUGGCCCUCGCGGGUUUUGAUAUAGCCGAUUCCACCGCGAGCGCGGUCGGUGCUAAAGAGUAGCUGGUUCCUGCCGAAGUUUCCCUCAGGAUAGCAGUGUUGAAUUCAGUUUUAUGAGGUAAAGCGAAUGAUUAGAGGCCUUGGGGUUGAAACAACCUUAACCUAUUCUCAAACUUUAAAUAUGUAAGAAGUCCUUGUUACUUAAUUGAACGUGGACAUUCGAAUGUACCAACACUAGUGGGCCAUUUUUGGUAAGCAGAACUGGCGAUGCGGGAUGAACCGAACGUGAAGUUAAGGUGCCGGAAUAUACGCUCAUCAGACACCACAAAAGGUGUUAAUUCAUCUAGACAGCAGGACGGUGGCCAUGGAAGUCGGAAUCCGCUAAGGAAUGUGUAACAACUCACCUGCCGAAUGAAUUAGCCCUGAAAAUGGAUGGCGCUUAAGCGUAUUACCCAUACUUCACCGCCAGGGUAGAAACGAUGCCCUGGCGAGUAGGCAGG
rnacentral:rRNA from 1 species